UACGUAGGGUCCGAGCGUUACUCGGAAUUCCUGGGCGUAAAGCGUGCGCAGGCGGUUUUGUAAGCCAGAUGUGAAAGCCCCGGGCUUAACCUGGGAAUGGCAUUUGGGACUGCAAGGCUGGAGUACGGCAGAGGGAGGUGGAAUUCCAGGUGUAGCAGUGAAAUGCGUAGAUAUCUGGAGGAACACCGAUGGCGAAGGCAGCCUCCUGGGCUAGUACUGACGCUCAUGCACGAAAGCGUGGGGAGCAAACAGG
rnacentral:rRNA from 1 species